UCGGGAAUUUUGGGCAAUGGGCGAAAGCCUGACCCAGCAACGCCGCGUGAGGGAUGAAGUAUUUCGGUAUGUAAACCUCGAAAGAAUGGGAAGAAUAAAUGACGGUACCAUUUAUAAGCUCCGGCUAACUACGUGCCAGCAGCCGCGGUAAUACGUAGGGAGCAAGCGUUGUUCGGAUUUACUGGGCGUAAAGGGCGCGUAGGCGGCGCGGUAAGUCACUUGUGAAAUCUCUGAGCUUAACUCAGAACGGCCAAGUGAUACUGCUGAGCUAGAGUGCGGAAGAGGCAACCGGAAUUCUUGGUGUAGCGGUGAAAUGCGUAGAUAUCGGAAGGAACACCAGUGGCGAAGGCGACUUCCUGGCCCGUUACUGACACUGAGGCGCGAAAGCGUGGGGAGCGAACA
rnacentral:rRNA from 1 species